rnacentral:rRNA from 1 species
GACGAACGCUGGCGGCGUGCCUAAUACAUGCAAGUAGAACGCUGAAGGAGGAGCUUGCUUCUCUGGAUGAGUUGCGAACGGGUGAGUAACGCGUAGGUAACCUGCCUGGUAGUGGGGGAUAACUAUUGGAAACGAUAGCUAAUACCGCAUAAUAGCAGUUGUUGCAUGAUAACUGUUUGAAAGGUGCAAUUGCACCGCUACCAGAUGGACCUGCGUUGUAUUAGCUAGUUGGUGGGGUAACGGCUCACCAAGGCGACGAUACAUAGCCGACCUGAGAGGGUGAUCGGCCACACUGGGACUGAGACACGGCCCAGACUCCUACGGGAGGCAGCAGUAGGGAAUCUUCGGCAAUGGACGGAAGUCUGACCGAGCAACGCCGCGUGAGUGAAGAAGGUUGUCGAAUCGUAAAGCUCUGUUGUAAGAGAAGAACGAGUGUGAGAGUGGAAAGUUCACACUGUGACGGUAUCUUACCAGAAAGGGACGGCUAACUACGUG